rnacentral:rRNA from 1 species
UACAGAGGGGGCAAGCGUUGUUCGGAAUUACUGGGCGUAAAGGGCGCGUAGGCGGCCCGCUAAGUCGAACGUGAAAUCCCCGAGCUCAACUCGGGAACUGCGUCCGAUACUGGCGGGCUUGAAUCCGGGAGAGGGAUGCGGAAUUCCAGGUGUAGCGGUGAAAUGCGUAGAUAUCAGGAGGAACAUCGAUGGCGAAGGCAGCCCCUUGGACCUGUACUGACGCUCAUGCACGAAAGCGUGGGGAGCAAACAGG